rnacentral:rRNA from 1 species
GACGAACGCUGGCGGCGUGCCUAAUACAUGCAAGUAGAACGCUGAAGAGAGGAGCUUGCUCUUCUUGGAUGAGUUGCGAACGGGUGAGUAACGCGUAGGUAACCUGCCUUGUAGCGGGGGAUAACUAUUGGAAACGAUAGCUAAUACCGCAUAACAAUGGAUGACACAUGUCAUUUAUUUGAAAGAGGCAAUUGCUCCACUACAAGAUGGACCUGCGUUGUAUUAGCUAGUAGGUGAGGUAACGGCUCACCUAGGCGACGAUACAUAGCCGACCUGAGAGGGUGAUCGGCCACACUGGGACUGAGACACGGCCCAGACUCCUACGGGAGGCAGCAGUAGGGAAUCUUCGGCAAUGGGGGCAACCCUGACCGAGCAACGCCGCGUGAGUGAAGAAGGUUUUCGGAUCGUAAAGCUCUGUUGUAAGUCAAGAACGAGUGUGAGAGUGGAAAGUUCACACUGUGACGGUAGCUUACCAGAAAGGGACGGCUAACUACGUGCCAGCAGCCGCGGUAAUA